GCCACAGCAGCCUUGCGCACGUGAAACCAGUCGAAUGGUGGAGGAAGAAACAUGAGUUCCUGAAGGGCUGCAUUAUUGGCAGACGUUCUUUCUUUACGCACUUUUGUGUGUAUGUGUGUGUAUGUGUGUUCGGUGCACGCGUGUAUUUAUACGUUCGUCUGAUACGUCACGUUAUUUUGUUCCGUUUACACACUCGCUUCUAUAGAAAAUGAUGCAGCAACUUUCUUUUUUUUUCUUAUAUUUUUUUGUGAGUAAUAAAUGAAUCGUAUUACGACGGCUAACGAACCAAUAAUUGCCACAUCAAUUUUUGUUCUUGCCGUUAUUAUUAUCUUUUCUCUCUUUUUUUUUUUUAAUAAACUCUUCAAAUUUUUAAUAACACAAUUUCCAAUACCACUUCGUUGUUUCUCGAUAAAAUGGCAUCACGAUAUUCUCGUUUCUAUCGACUAAAGCUCUUCCGAAUUACUAUUAUUCGUUUCAUUUAUACUAAACAUCGUUCGCCGACUGAGUCGAGUUUUUUAUACGAUCCGAGUUCCUCGAGUGCACACACGUUGAACGUGAGCCAGCAAAUAGAGUAAACCAGGCGUUCUCUAGACGAUAAUCGACUGACUGACUGACUGACUGUUUUUUUACAAGCUUGUCGAUCUUUCUUGAUCGAACGGUAUCCCUUGAAGAAGACGAUGAUGCACUGUUCUCCGACGUCCAGACCACUCUUGGGAGAACUCUUUACUUUCGUCCACACCAACCAAGAGAAAACUACCCAGCUUGUACCCUCUCCUUUCACGUAUCUCGUUUUUAUUAAACUAAUUUUAUACCGAAGAAAAAUUCAUACACGUUAAAUUUUAGUAAUUAUAUUAUUUCGCAAUUAUGAAAAUCAAUAGGAAUUGAUACAUUGAAAAAUUCUUCCAAUAAGUUUUCAAUUUCAUAAAUUGAUUUUGUCGAACGAAAAAUAUAAAUGUCUAUUUUAUCUCGUCCGAUUAUCUUGCUUUUAAAAAAGCAUCAUAAAUUAUAUAUAUAUGUAUACGUCUAUUUAUGUUAAAUAUGUACUUGAUGGAUAGAAAAACACAAUAAAAGCACAAAGAAAUAAUGUAAUCCUUUCCGAAAGGAGAAUUCGUGGUCGGUGCAGUCAAUACGAUUUGAUUCACUCGCGGUAGAAGUCGCGGAUGCUGUAAGCUCGCGCCCGAGGAAAGAGGCCCUAUAUAUGGGCCUCGGCACGAACACAUCGAUAAGUAUAUUGAGGGUGGGGAGGGGGAAAGAGGAGUUAGUAGCCGGUCUGUACGUGUCUGCGUUUUUACGAAUAAAUGUGUGCGUGCGUGUCUUCUGUCGACGACGUUAAAAAACGACUUUCGAAAUAACGAGAAUGUGAAAAUCAACGUGAGAUUACAUCAGCAUUAGAAAGAUUAGAAAAACAUAGGAUAUCUCAAAGCUAUGCAGCGAAGAUUCAGAAGAGAAAGAUGAACUCAGAAAGUUGUCGACAUGUACAGAAGAAAAGGGGAACGGUCGUCUCGUUCGUUCGUUCGUUCGUUCGUUCGGCAACAGUCCAUCAGUUUUAAUCAAAGGCGUAAUACGGGACAAGAUUCUUUAGGAGGCCAGAAACCCAGCAUGCUCUUUCCAAGCGUACCUCCAUUAACGAACCUCGAACCUUGCGUGUGCACAAUAUAUAUAUAUAACAUACGAGUGUAUAUGAAGUGUGCUUAUCUACAUGUAUAAUACAUACACGAACAAAUCCGAUUUUCAUAUGAAUAUGUACGUGCAUAUAUAUACGUGUCAAAUGCAUCUUUAACAUAUAUCUACAAAUAGAAAUAUUCGUGCAUUUCUAGUGCGUAAAACUCCUAUUAUGAAAAUUCUUUAUUUCCGUAAUUUAUAUAAAACACUCGCACGAAACUCAUCGUAACACAUCCGUGAAAGCAUGUUGUAUUAUUAACGUUUGGAAAUUUGAACAAUUAGUUAAGGAGUUCGAAUAAUUAAGUUCGAAAUGGUUUUAAAGUAUACUCGAAUGGUACAUAGGGUGGGUCAAAAGUUUUUAGGCAGAAUCAAAAGUUUCUAUGGAGCAUUGGUAGUUUUACAAUUUGAAAAGGAAAAGAAAAAAAGACAAAGAAAGAGAGAAAGAAACGUUCGUAUUAAAAAGGUCUCAAAAAAAUGAAUAAUUGAUAUUUAUUUAUCGCUCAUAUUAGAAGAGAAAGAAAAUUGAAUCAUUCAAUCGCUUUACCUUGAAUGGUCUUUCGUUUCGUUCAUAGGAAAAUAGGAUUGCUUCGAUGAAUCGAACGAAUACGAGAAUACGUUUCAUUCAUGGAAGAUGUUAUAAUCGUUUUAGUGUUCAACGACGCGAUGUCAUUACGUAUACUAAAUGGAUUAUUCGUCGCUCGCUCUUUCUCUCUCUCUCUCUCUCUAUAUAUAUAUAUAUACAUAUAUAUAUAUAUAUAUAUAUAUAUAUAUAUACACAUACAUAUUUAUUGUAACCCGCAAGGCAACAGCACUUUUAAAGAGACUACGUCGCUUUGUCGUUAUCGAUUUGACUUUUUUAUGAGUAUUAAAAUGGCUGUUAUUUAUUUAUUCGGGAUCAUUAUUUUUAAACAUUCGAUUAGCAUUUUAAAUAAAUGAUCAAUAAUUUAAAUAAAAUAAUAGCACGUAAUCCGACUCUAUAAUACCUACACUUAAUUGUUUAUCACUGAUCAGAAUAUUCAUCUGUUACUGAUUAUACAUUUUACAAA